ACGAAGCAACAACAACAAAAUUACAACAAACAAAUGGGCAACUAUUGAAUGGCGGCCAUUAGUGGCCCCAAGCGGCAUCCAUUGAGCAAUCAACACCAUUUCUCCCAUCCAACUAACAGCACCACCACCACCAACAAUACACCCAGCCACACCACCAACAUCCGCAAUAACAACAACAACAACAACAGCAGCAGCAGCAACAACAAGCUUUAUAGCUAUAAAACGCCAGCUAAUCCCCAGCACCAUCAGCACCAACAGAACACAGCACCAAGCUACUGCACCACCAAAAUCAUCAAAUCCUCCACUGCCAAUUCCAUCAACAACACCACCACCAACGCUGAGAAGAACAAGAGCAACAGCUGCCCAAAUUCUUCAGCUGCUGCGCCGCGUAGCUCGAUGAGCGUAUCGAUGUCACUGGUACAGGGUGGUGCUGCCGGUGGUGCGCCACAGGGCGCCAGCGCAAUACUAGCAGCUGCGGCUCCAUAUUAUCAACCGCCAGCGGUGCCACAGGAUGUUCAACCGGAUCGUCCAAUUGGCUACGGUGCAUUCGGCGUUGUCUGGGCCGUUACAGAUCCGCGUGAUGGACGCCGCGUCGCACUGAAAAAGCUGCCAAAUGUUUUCCAAUCGUUGGUCUCAUCCAAGCGCGUUUUCCGUGAACUGAAAAUGCUUUGCUUUUUCAAGCAUGAGAACGUGCUGUCAGCUUUGGACAUUUUACAGCCACCACAUUUGGACUUCUUUCAGGAAAUCUAUGUGAUAACUGAGCUGCUGCAAUCGGAUCUGCACAAGAUCAUUGUGUCGCCACAGCAUCUAUCCGCGGAUCACAUCAAAGUCUUUCUAUACCAGAUACUGCGUGGAUUGAAGUAUCUGCACUCGGCACGGAUAUUGCAUCGCGAUAUCAAGCCCGGCAAUCUGCUCGUCAACUCGAAUUGUGUGCUCAAGAUCUGUGACUUUGGGCUGGCGCGCGUCGAGGAGCCGGAUCAGGCCAAGCACAUGACCCAGGAAGUGGUCACACAAUAUUAUCGAGCGCCCGAAAUUUUAAUGGGUGCUCGCCACUAUUCAUCGGCGGUGGAUGUGUGGUCGGUGGGCUGCAUCUUUGGUGAGCUGCUCGGCCGACGUAUAUUGUUCCAGGCGCAGAAUCCCGUACAGCAGCUGGAGCUAAUCACCGAGCUGCUGGGCACACCCACCAUGGAGGAUAUGCGUCAUGCCUGCGAGGGGGCACGCACACACAUGCUGAGGCGAGCGCCAAAGCCACCAUCCUUCUCGGUGCUGUACACGCUCAGCUCACAUGCCACACACGAGGCGGUCCAUUUGCUCUGCCAGAUGCUUGUCUUUGAUCCGGAUAAGCGCAUUUCAGUGACGGAUGCUUUGGCGCAUCCCUAUCUGGAUGAAGGCCGUUUGCGCUAUCAUUCGUGCAUGUGCAAAUGCUGUUUCACUACCUCAGCUGGCAUGCGUCAGUAUACGGCGGACUUUGAGCCAUCGGCCGGUCAGCCCUUUGAUGAUCUAUGGGAGCGCAAACUCACCUCUGUGCAGCAGGUGAAGGAGGAAAUGCAUAAAUUUAUUGCCGAGCAGCUGCAAACGGGUCGUGUGCCGCUCUGCAUUAAUCCGCAGAGUGCGGCAUUCAAGAGCUUUGCCAGCCAAUGAGAAUGAGAAUAUCUACUACUACUACCACUACUACUACCACAACUUGCACUGCUGCUCCUGUCGCUGCUGCUGCUGCCGCUGCUACUGCGCCGCCGCCGCCUCUGUCGCUGCACAGGCAACGAACAAUGAAUACUAGGCGCGUACCGAACGAUAUAUAAUACCAUAUUUAUAUAUAUAUACAUAUAUACAUAUAUAUAUGUAUGUUAACCAAUAAAGUCAAGCAACACACAGAAUACAGAACGAGUCAAUAAUCGAGCAGAAGUCACAAAUAUAAUAAUAAUAAUAAUAAUAACAAUAACAAUAAUUAUACAAUACAAAACUGCCGCCAGAAAAAAGAAAAACAGUAAGCAGAUAAAGGCAAGAAAGCAAGCGAGAAAGAAAGAAAGCAAGAUACCAAGCAAAUACCAAAAUCGAGAAUCGAGAAACGAAUCGAUAUCGAUAACGAUAACGAUAACGAUACAUGCUACAAUAUGUUGGGGGCCCCUCGGCAGCAGCAACACUUCCCAAAUGCGCGCGAUCUUGAAAUCUUUAGCUCAACUGUGGCACAUCCUUCGGAGCUGCCGCCAUCGCCGCAUCAAUGGGAAUGACGGCAA
rnacentral:misc_RNA from 1 species